GACGAACGCUGGCGGCGUGCUUAACACAUGCAAGUCGAACGGAAAGGCCCUGCUUUUGUGGGGUGCUCGAGUGGCGAACGGGUGAGUAACACGUGAGUAACCUGCCCUUGACUUUGGGAUAACUUCAGGAAACUGGGGCUAAUACCGGAUAGGAGCUCCUGCUGCAUGGUGGGGGUUGGAAAGUUUCGGCGGUUGGGGAUGGACUCGCGGCUUAUCAGCUUGUUGGUGGGGUAGUGGCUUACCAAGGCUUUGACGGGUAGCCGGCCUGAGAGGGUGACCGGCCAAAUUGGGACUGAGAUACGGCACAGACUCCUACGGGAGGCAGCAGUGGGGAAUAUUGCACAAUGGGCGGAAGCCUGAUGCAGCAACGCCGCGUGCGGGAUGACGGCCUUCGGGUUGUAAACCGAUUUCGCCUGUGACGAAGCGUGAGUGACGGUAAUGGGUAAAGAAGCACCGGCUAACUACGUG
rnacentral:rRNA from 1 species